rnacentral:lncRNA from 1 species
CCACCUUCUUGCUCCAGUACUUGAAUGCAUUGAUGAGGAUGCCAAGAUAGAUGAAGCUUGAUCCAUCUUCACCAAUGAACAGGGAAGUUUCUUCUUAUCAUUUUUCCCUUUCUUUGUUCCACAUUGAGGACAAUGUUAGGUUUUAGUUGGGGGGGGGGGGGAAGGGGGUUCUGAGCAUGAAUAUAUGCAUUCCUGUUUGCAUGAAUUUAGAUUUGGUAUCAUGAAUACAUUUCAAUUUACAUGAAUUCAACUUUGGUAUUUUGGCUUGAUUACAAUGUAUUUUUGCUUGAGUCAAUAGUGCUAUCUAAGUAAGCUAUUGAAACACCUCAGAAAUUUUUUCUUUUCAUACACAUAAACUAAGCUCAUGUGGUUUGAUGGAUGUGAAACUCAUACAAUUAGAGAACACUCAAAUUAAAGUUGCAACCUUUUACACUUGUGAGAAAUUGGGCCAUUCUCAUUUUUUUGAGAGAUGUUAUCAUAUUCUUAAUAUUACCUUUAGCAUUGUCUCGUUACAUGAUCUCAUUAUUCCCCAUAUUUGGUUGACUAAUGGGAAUGCCAUUACACGGUUUGUGGUAUCUUGGUUUGAUUAUACUCAGGAAAUGAUGAAGGUCAAUUUAGGAUGUAGUUUAGGCCUUUCAAACCGACCAAUGUCUCAUUGAAUAGAAGUCACUUCGAGCUAAAAUCUCACCAGUCUUUGUUAAGCCAUUUAUUUCCUCACCCACUCCACAUUGGAGGUUGAGCCUAAGUUGAACAUCUCCUUUACCUUCAAAUAUCAAGUAUGUAGUAUAGAUUGUGGAAUAUGUUGUUGAAAAAAAAAAUAUUCAGAAAUGAAUGAAGAAAGGGCAUGAAAAAUAUUUUAAAGCAAUUGGACACAAUUGCAGUCGCAUACUUUGACCAAAUGUCUCACGUGUGGGGCCCCCUUGGUGGAAAAAGGGGCACCAGACAGCCCUUAUGUCUACAAGUUGAUGAAGAUCCUCAAUAUAUACUUGAGAAUUAAUAUUUUUCUUCAAUCUUCUUAUCCUUCCUUUCAAUUUGACCCUAGUCAUAUUACAACCCUUUAUUGACCUUUUGAUCCUAAGUGGGUCAGUGGUUAGAAUGGCUGAGUUCCUAUUAGUUGGCAUCC